rnacentral:rRNA from 1 species
GGAUCGCGGCGMCSUGGGCGGUCGCCGCCGAUGACGUCGCGAGAAGUCCACUGAACCUUAUCAUUUAGAGGAAGGAGAAGUCGUAACAAGGUUUCCGUAGGUGAACCUGCGGAAGGAUCAUUG